rnacentral:lncRNA from 1 species
ACAAGGAACAAGCAAGACAUGUGUCUGUUAAAAGGUUUUCAAUUAUUUUACUGCAAGAGAGAGCAUAUAACUUUCCACAACGAUAAAAAGAAGCUGACAACACUGCAA